GACAGAGGGUGCGAACGUUUGUUCGGAAUUACUGGGCGUAAAGCGCAUGUAGGCGGCAGCGCAAGUCGGGCGUGAAAUCCCACGGCUCAACCGUGGAAGUGCACUCGAAACUGCGCAGCUAGAGUCCUGGAGAGGAAGGUGGAAUGCUUGGUGUAGAGGUGAAAUUCGUAGAUAUCAAGCGGAACACCGGUGGCGAAGGCGGCCUUACUGGACAGUGACUGACGGCUG
rnacentral:rRNA from 1 species